AAAGGGUAUGAAGACAAGUCCAGAUUUCUCAGUCAAAAAAACAAUUCUUCCACUUUGAAAGUGUGGAGUAGGUUGUGUCGAUCAGUGAAACAAAAUUUAAUGCAUUUUUAUUUUAUUUUAAGGAAGGAAAAAUGUGAACUGCAGGGGCAUUUGACUGACGGUACAGAGGUCAUCUUCUUUGAUGCCCGUUUGGACCGAGUCAGGACGUUUACUGCUUGUGACCCUUGGAGGAAGAAGAGUUCCACAUUUCUUCUCCGUCCUUCUCAACGACCAGGUUGCCGUCGUUACGCAGGCGGUAGGCGUCGCGCUGUCCCGCGGUGUCAGAGGACCACAUCUGCCUCCAGCCAUAGAUGACAAAGUUACCGUCCUCCUGUGCAGAUGACAUAAAGGGUUGUGAAAUUUGCUCAAGGACCACGGUGAAGAUGACGUUAUUGAAUGUCUCGCCAGCUUUGAUCCAUGCCUGGGCAUGCAGGACGCAAAGUUAUUUGUUUGUCAGAUGAAUCGUUGGAUCAAAACUACAAAACAAGAGAACACACACAUGGUUAAUGUUCUGAGAAUUAAAAAAUGUAUAAAACAUUUCUUUCUGAGCCGUGAUGCCCGCAGUUUACAGAUUGCCUUUGCCGAUCGCUCAUUAUCUUCAUUCAUCAGUGAGUCAAUGGCCUUAAUAGUCAUUGACUCACUCACGCGUUG